UGCAUAAAUUCUCUUUUUAAUAAAUCUAAAAUAUUCAAAUAAACUUGCAUAUUCACAUUUGCAUUAACCUAGUACGCUGAAAAAAAUAUUGGAGACAAAAGCCACUGCCAUUCUUGAACAGAAACAAGCAGCAGAAAGAAUGAAAGAAAACAAAAUCAAACAGAAAAUGAAGAAACAAUAAAAUUCCAGCAAUUAUGAAAUAAUAGCACCACAAGUAUGGACUGAGGUGUGAGCCUUGUCUUCCUUAACUAUAUUUAGCAGAAAGAAUAACAUCUUCCAUGAUAUGCGUAUUGAACAAUGCGUAUUCAAAUCCAAUUGCAAGAAUUUUUGAAGAAAAAAAAUGUUUGGAAGUUGGAACCAGCAAUGCUACAAAAUAUGUUUUAUGGAUUUGUAUUAUAUAUUUCUCAUUAUAAAAUUAAGUGCCAACAAUGGUCAAUCUUGCACACAUAGAAUUGAUAGGUUGGCUUAAACCUGGGCAUAGUAAACUAAACAAAGCUGAAAGUGUGCUUAUAUUCAGGCAGAUUGUGGAGUUAGUGGAUUCUGCACACUCUCAAGGAGUUGUCUUAAAUGACUUACGGCCAUCUUGUUUCUUUUUACUGCAAUCAAGUAGAGUUAAAUACACCGGUUCUUCUACUUGAUGUGAGAGAAUUAGAGGGUGUGAUGUGUCAAGAAUCAUUUCGGAAAAGGCCAUUGGAACAAAAUGAGCAUGCCUACCUUAGUUUGGGUGCAAAGCAGCGAAGAAUAUAACCCCAAGUUCUGGUAAUGAAAUUUUAGGACGAUUUGAAAUUCUGGGUUUUGUGAAUUUUUCAAGAAAGCAGUGUGUGAGGCGGCUCCAACUAAGAAAGCAGACUCAGCUGCAAAGAGGGCUCGUCAAGCUGAGAAAAGG